GGGUGCGAUCAUACCAGCACUAACGCACCGGAUCCCAUCAGAACUCCGCAGUUAAGCGUGCUUGGGCGAGAGUAGUACUAGGAUGGGUGACCCCCUGGGAAGUCCUCGUGUUGCACCCUCU
rnacentral:rRNA from 1 species